UCGUGCACAGAAUCUGAUUUAUUCUUUUGCCUUUCAACAUCUUUUCUCUAACACAGAAAGUUUUAAAAUGGUAUAAAAAUCAACUAAAUACAAAGUCCCUACAGUCAAAUCAGAUGUAAUCCUCUCAUAUUCCUUUUCUCCUAUGACUUCUGUCAACAGUUUGCUCUUCAGUGCAGGAUGAUGGUGCUGGAAUGUGACUGCGACACCACAACCACUGACAGUCUGAUCGGACCAAAGCUGUUACUGUCACGGGCAGGGUAGAUCUGGGCUCAGCAGGGAUAUGUAUCUAACCCCCCUGAGCCCUGUGCCAGAUGGGAAGAUCCGUCAAGCCUGAUUGGAGAAAGGCAGCCACUGGGCCUCUUGGAGGGAGUUCUGUGUUAUUCUGGUACUCCCCAAAGUUAUGCUGAGUUGAAGAAGAGUGGACCAGCCAGCUGGCUUCUGGUUGACACCAGAAGAGUGAUGAGGGGGAGAGGGACAAUAAACUGAAUGCAGACUACACACAACAGAUUAGAAACAUGAAGCAGGAGGACCAGAGAGAGCUGUGUGAGUGCCUGCUCUCUGAAGGACUUUAAAUACUGGGCAACUGAGAUUUUGGAACACACUGUUGACAGCUGUUUUGGAACUACAAGUACGAUGUGUGCUACAUCUGAGGUGGAGGUAUCAGACUGUGGAAUAGGAGUGUCAGACAUACUGAUGUUGCUCUGGGUCCCUGAACUGAUUCGGGGUGACCAUUCAAAUAUGAGAACUUCAGUAUAG
rnacentral:lncRNA from 1 species